CGUAACAAGGUUUCCGUAGGUGAACCUGCGGAAGGAUCAUUACCUAGAGUUUGUAGACUUCGGUCUGCUACCUCUUACCCAUGUCCUUUGAGUACCUUCGUUUCCUCGGCGGGUCCGCCCGCCGAUUGGACAACAUUCAAACCCUUUGCAGUUGCAAUCAGCGUCUGAAAAAACAUAAUAGUUACAACUUUCAACAACGGAUCUCUUGGUUCUGGCAUCGAUGAAGAACGCAGCGAAAUGCGAUAAGUAGUGUGAAUUGCAGAAUUCAGUGAAUCAUCGAAUCUUUGAACGCACAUUGCGCCCCUUGGUAUUCCAUGGGGCAUGCCUGUUCGAGCGUCAUUUGUACCUUCAAGCUCUGCUUGGUGUUGGGUGUUUGUCUCGCCUCUGCGUGUAGACUCGCCUUAAAACAAUUGGCAGCCGGCGUAUUGAUUUCGGAGCGCAGUACAUCUCGCGCUUUGCACUCAUAACGACGACGUCCAAAAGUACAUUUUUACACUCUUGACCUCGGAUCANGUAGGGAUACCCGCUGAACUUAAGCAUAUCA
rnacentral:rRNA from 1 species